AAGUCGGUUGUGAAAGCCUUCCGCUCAACGGAAGAACGGCAUCCGGUACUGCAUGGCUUGAGUGUGGGAGGGGAGAGUGGAACUUCUGGUGGAGCGGUGAAAUGCGUAGAUAUCAGAAGGAACACCGGCGGCGAAGGCGACUCUCUGGUCCAUAACUGACGCUGAGCGUGCGAAAGCUAGGGGAGCAAACGGGAUUAGAUACCCCGGUAGUCCUAGCCGUAAACGAU
rnacentral:rRNA from 1 species